CAUGAUUCCAUUUCUCAACAUCUACUAUCUACUAUCUACUAAAGGAUGAUGUUGUUGCCUUUGACACUACAAAUUAACACUACAACUUUUAUACUUUCCAAUAACUAUUUGACACUCGGCACCUUUCUCCAUUCCAAAUGAACUUACACGUUUUUGUUUUUACACUCUCUCUCUCUCACACAUUUUGAAUCAGUUUUCUCUCGUCUCUCUCUUUCUCUCCUUCCCUCUUCUCUCUUCUCUCCCCUCAAACCCUAAAAACAUCUGAACAAAACCCUGAAAUCUCUAUAACUCUUUCUCUGUGUUACUUCAUUACUUUUGCAUUUGAUGAGAAGACACUGUCACAUAAACAUGAAGGUGAUAACUGCAUACUUGCUCGCCGUUCUCGGAGGCAACAACACCCCUCCGCCAAAACCGUCAAGGACACCCUUGGUUCUGUUGGAGCAAAAAACCUAGACCGUGUGAAAGCUCUUAGAGUAAAUGUUGGAACUGAACUUGAUGCAGAUCUUGGCCCGGUUAUCAGCAAACAUGUUAUAUGGUGAGAUCUGGAAAUCAAAAUCAGAUUUUGGAUAUGUGGUUUAAGUUGACAUAUUUUUGUUUUUCAGGUAACAAUGAUAUCUAAAUCAAAAUUAGAACUUUUUCUAUAAAAAAUAUCCAUGGUUUGGCUGCAACUGGCCUGGUUUUAUUGUUGGUUUAGGUAUGUAGUUUGAUGUUGAUAGCCCACACUAGCUUUGCCAAGGUAUAUGGCUUCAUUGUUUCCUUAUCUUAUUUUUCUACUUGUCUGUUUUCCACUAUUUAUAAAAAUUUGACUUUUUUGUUUUGGCUGGAAGAAUAAAUGAUGCUAAAAUAGUUAUACACUUUUUUGUUGAUUUACUCUAACAAUACUCAUGUGUAAUUGUAAGUGAUGAUAAAACUCAUGCUACUGUUUUGCCAAUCUUUAAAAACUUAGUCUCUUACCAAUCUUCAACAACUUGAUCUUUGGACAAUUUUUGAGAAUCCGCUCUUUUGCAAAUCUUUAAAAUGAUUUUACAGAAGUUAUCACAUACUAACUUAGAUAUAUUAUCUUUGUGAUCAUGUUUUGUUUACCUCACUACCCAUGUCAUGUUUAAAUGGUGUGGUUUCACUAUAAAUAAGUUGUUAAUUUUAUGUCACUUAAAUCAAAUUUAAUUACAAAUACCAACUUUUGUGUAAAAGCAUUAUAGGUUUUGUGAUCAUGGCAAGAAAACACAUAUAAACUUGACAUAGAUGGUUGAUGCAAGGUUUGAAUUGAAACAAUUACUCUCUUAGAAUCUAUUACAGCUCUCUCCGUGGAACAUGGUUUCGACAUCCAGGCAUGAAUACAAUUACCUUUUCUCAAAUAAUCUCACAAGUUGAAAGAUACACUGGACUAACGAUGGAUAUCUUUGUAUAAUUUUCUCCACAUGGAUUUAAAACAUUUCAAAAAGUCAUACAUUUUUUAACUUGUACCCGACAAUGUAUAGUAGGAAGUGAAAUAACUUGAUUUUAAAUAAACAAUUACCUUUAUGCAUAUUCAUGGAAAUGGUGUAAGAGCAAGAUUGGUGGUUUCAACUACACUCUUGCGCAAUGGAUUACAAAUCCAAGGGACUGUUUGGGAAGAUAAUGCUGAAGGUUAAGAGUGGUUCGCAGGAAGUAGCUCAUUAGAUGUUUUGUAGUUGGAGGUCUCCUUAAUGGUGCAAGCAGUGUCGGACUGUUUGCAGCAUUUACAAAGUUGGAGAUUUGCAGAUCUUGCAGAGUUUGUCCAAGUCUCCCUUAUGUGCAGAGUUUAUCCGAAGAUAUUUUCGGUGCAAGUUCUUUUAGUCUAGGUGAUUUUUACAUUGCUCUGUCUGAAAGGAUAGGCAUUUUGCUGUCAUGAUGUGUUGAAUUGAUUACCAGUUAGAAUUAAAUGUAUUUGACUUGGUAGUAAUGAGAUAGGUUGUUUAGUUGUUGUUUGUAUUUGGUGGUGUGUUUGGGAGCUUGCUGUUGUAUUUGGCAUGGCUAAUGAAAUUUAAUAAAUUGGUGUCUUUGGCUUUUAAAAAGAAAAAUCCAACUUAUUACUUAAAUUUCAAAAUAAAUAUUCUGAAUCAGGCUUUGUAGAUUUUUCAAAGUUGGUAGCUUUUCGGGUCAAUAAAAAAUUAGAAAAUUUAAAAUGUUGCAUCAGGAAUAAGAGAUAAAUUUGAAAAACUUGACUCUUGUAAUAUUAAUUUAUGGUUUGCUAAUCUUAAACUAGAUAUUCAUUGUAAUUCAUUGAGAGCUAGGUAAAAUUGUACCAUGCUUUGAGAUGGAGUCAAAUUGACAAAGAAGAUACUAAUAAUUAAAAAUUAAAAAUAUAUUUCAUAUGACUAAAAAUAGUAU